rnacentral:rRNA from 1 species
UAGGAUAGGUGGGAGGCUUUGAAGUGUGGACGCCAGUCUGCAUGGAGCCGGCCUUGAAAUACCACCCUUUAAUGUUUGAUGUUCUAACGUUGGCCCCUGAUCGGGGUUGCGGACAGUGUCUGGUGGGUAGUUUGACUGGGGCGGUCUCCUCCUAAAGAGUAACGGAGGAGCACGAAGGUUGGCUAAUCCUGGUCGGACAUCAGGAGGUUAGUGCAAUGGCAUAAGCCAGCUUGACUGCGAGCGUGACGGCGCGAGCAGGUGCGAAAGCAGGUCAUAGUGAUCCGGUGGUUCUGAAUGGAAGGGCCAUCGCUCAACGGAUAAAAGGUACUCCGGGGAUAACAGGCUGAUACCGCCCAAGAGUUCAUAUCGACGGCGGUGUUUGGCACCUCGAUGUCGGCUCAUCACAUCCUGGGGCUGAAGUAGGUCCCAAGGGUAUGGCUGUUCGCCAUUUAAAGUGGUACGCGAGCUGGGUUUAGAACGUCGUGAGACAGUUCGGUCCCUAUCUGCCGUGGGCGCUGGAGAACUGAGGGGGGCUGCUCCUAGUACGAGAGGACCGGAGUGGACGCAUCACUGGUGUUCGGGUUGUCAUGCCAAUGGCACUGCCCGGUAGCUAAAUGCGGAAGAGAUAAGUGCUGAAAGCAUCUAAGCACGAAACUUGCCCCGAGAUGAGUUCUCCCUGACUCCUUGAGAGUCCUGAAGGAACGUUGAAGACGACGACGUUGAUAGGCCGGGUGUGUAAGCGCAGCGAUGCGUUGAGCUAACCGGUACUAAUGAAC